rnacentral:rRNA from 1 species
AAUGAACGUUGGCGGCGUGGAUUAGGCAUGCAAGUCGUGCGGAAAGGCCCUUCGGGGCACUCGAGCGGCGAAAGGGAGAGUAACGCGUGGAUCAUCUACCCUCAGGACCGGGAUAGCCGGGGGAAACCCCGGGUAAUACCGGAUAACGUCUCCGGACCAAAGGUGUGAGUCCGCCUGGGGAUGAGUCCGCGUCCUACUAGCUAGUUGGUGAGGUAACGGCUCACCAAGGCUGCGAUGGGUACGGGGUGUGAGAGCAUGACCCCGCUCACUGGGACUGAGACACUGCCAGACACCUACGGGUGGCUGCAGUCGAGAAUCUUCGGCAAUGGGCGUAAGCCUGACCGAGCGACGCCGCGUGUGGGAUGAAGGCCUUCGGGUUGUAAACCACUGUCGGAGGGGAGGAAAUUCUAAGGGGUCCACUCCUUAGAUUGACCUAUCCUCAAAGGAAGGACGGGCUAAGUUCGUGCCAGCCGCCGCAGUAA